AGUUUGGGUUCUGAUUCUUUCUUCGUUUAUACCAUAUUGACAAAUCAUGUUUUAGAAUCUUCUCUUAAGUUGCAAAUUAAUACCUUUGUGCCUUCGCACUUUAAUGGUACCUAUGGGUUCACAAGACUCACCCCCAAAUUCAGCUUCUGGCAUGCUACACCAAUUCAUUAUCUCAGACUCCAUUGCUAGUCAAAACCAAUUUCAAAGUCAGAAUUUCAGCGUUUUCGGUCCAGACUUGCGAGGCAGCAACACAUUUUCUCAGUCUCAUGGUGUAUUGCCAAGCAUAAAGUCUCUCGAGGAAAGAAUGUCUAGGUCAAUAGACCUAGUUCAAGUCCCCUUGGCAGUUCAAGAAUCUGAGAUUAGCCAUUCCAGACACUUAAUGGAUCUUCUUGGAGCGGCAAAUGAGACCAAUCAUCAAGCUCAAAGGUUAUCACUGUCUCUUGGUUCUCAGAUGCUUGUUCCCCAAUUUCAGUACAGGCAGAGAUCCUUUAAUUCGGAUCUCAUGAGUCCUAGUUACUUAGUUCCUAGAGAAGAAGUAAGGGAAGCAUAUAAUCUUGGAGGUGAACAAGCAAACGACGGCUAUUCUCUCACUGGUAAUGGAUUUCCUCAAUCAUCAACCUCAUUAAGUAGACCUUCUACUUCUUACGGAACAGAAUCUUUUGCGGUUGCUAUAGGGAAUUCAAGGUAUUUAAAGCCUGCUCAGUCUCUGCUAGAAGAAAUUGUGCAUGUAAGUUGCCGGGCAGUUGAAAUUAGCAAUGAAAAGUACGUUGGGAAAUUAUUUCCUUGUGGCCAAAGAGGAUCUCUAAGACUUUCUUCUGAAUUAAAAGUAGAACGGUGGGAUAUGGGGCUUGUUCAAGCCGAGAAACAUGAACUCCAGCUUACAAUAGCAAAGCUUAUAGCAUUGUUGAAGGAGGUAGAGGGAAGAUAUGAGAAAUACUAUCAUCAAAUGGAAGAAGUGGUAUCAUCAUUUGAGGAAAUAGCUGGUUUAGGAGCGGCCAAAUCCUACACAGCUCUUGCGCUCCAAGCCAUGUCCAAGCAUUUCUGCAACUUGAGAGAUGCCAUAGUGUCCCAAAUCGAUGAGACAAAAAGAAAAUUCUCUCGAGAUUUACCAAAAAUCAGCACAGAAAUGUCACAACUUAGCUUGUUUGAUAAAGAGACCAAACAUAACCGGAUAUCUCUUCGACAGCUUGGAAUGAUGCAAAGCCAAAGGCAAGCAUGGAGACCCAUCAGAGGGUUGCCAGAGACUUCUGUAACCAUCCUUCGCUCUUGGCUUUUUGAACACUUCUUGCACCCGUAUCCAAAUGAUUAUGAGAAACUAAUGUUAGCAUCGCAGACAGGCUUGACAAAGAAUCAAGUAUCAAACUGGUUUAUAAAUGCUCGAGUCCGGCUAUGGAAGCCUAUGAUAGAAGAAAUGUACAAAGAGGAGUUUGCAGAUCACUCAGAGGACUGAAGGAAAAGGUUGAUAGCUAAGUCAGUUCCUUCUUCAAGCUGCGUUUCGUUGUAUCUUUUAUGCAAUAGGAAAUUAACGUCCUCUUUAAUCAUUCAUCCUUGAAAAUCUGAGAACAGUAUAGACCUGUGAUUUCCAGGAAAAGCACAAAUUGCCAUGGGAGCGGAUCCUCCGCAACUAAGCUGUUUCAACUUUUGAUGUUUAUUUCCAUCACUGUUUAAAAAAUUUGGUGAGAGCAACCUGUCCAAGCUAGCAAAUGCUAAGCAGCUUGAUAGGCAUUGAUUACUGCAGUACUAGGACACCUAGGAAUCUUGUCAGUAUCAUACGUGAUGGCCAAUGCAUGUAUGUAACUUGGAUUAUUUGGGAUCGCUCUCAAGACUGAAACGGAUAAAACAUUGGCAUUAAUCCAGAAGGCGUUGAGGAGUACUCCCCCAUGAGUUGUUCAAGAAAUCAAAGCGUAUAUUGGAGUAGAAUUGAAUUAGUUGUUAGCGGUGUUCUUUUCAUUUUCUUUAAUUGUGAUCUUUUGCUUCUGCUGUUAAUUCUUAUUAGGAGUUCUAAUUUGUACACAUAUUGUGGCAGAAUGUAGUUGAAUUUUCCCUGACUUGGAAUGGUUUUGAAAUUAAUCUAAUAUGUUGGAUUAGUGAUGA